rnacentral:lncRNA from 1 species
AAAAGUUCUCAAGGCUAAAAGGGAACUCCUCUCUAAUCAGUUCUCAACAGAGAGAAAACUAGUUCUAUCCAUAUAGCCUACUUAUAUAAGUUAAAAGUUUAAGCAAUAGUAAGACAUCCACUCCUUCUAAAUUACAUAGGACCCACAACAUCUGGGCACUUCUGUGCUUCACAUUAUUCAUGUUCUACCACCAAUGCCUGGAAAAGCUCAUGCAGAGAGUAAGAAUCUGUCCUUAAUUUUUGCUAUCCCUGCCCAGUAAAGUCAGGAGCCACUUCUCAAGAGAUUAGACAACUCAGAAGAGAGGAGUUGUGGCUUACUCUGGCUGAAAAUUCCCGCCUUAACAACAGACUUCAACAAGCAACAGGUACAACACAUCUGCAGCUACU